AGUGAACGCUGGCGGCGUGCUUAAGACAUGCAAGUCGAACGGCAGUCUUCGGACUGUAGUGGCGCACGGGUGAGUAACGCGUAACUGACCUACCCCAAAGUCGCGGAUAACGAUUCGAAAGAAUCGCUAAUACGUGAUGUGCUGUCAGAUUGUGUUCUGCCAGUAAAGAUGGAUUGCUUUGGGAUGGGGUUGCGUUCCAUCAGCUAGUUGGUGGGGUAAGGGCCCACCAAGGCGACGACGGAUAGCCGGCCUGAGAGGGUGGCCGGCCACAGGGGCACUGAGACACGGGUCCCACUCCUACGGGAGGCAGCAGUUAGGAAUCUUCCACAAUGGGCGAAAGCCUGAUGGAGCGACGCCGCGUGAGGGAUGAAGGUCUUCGGAUCGUAAACCUCUGAAUCAGGGACGAAAGACACUUCGGUGGGAUGACGGUACCUGAGUAAUAGCACCGGCUAACUCCGUGCCAGCCGCCGCCGUAAUAC
rnacentral:rRNA from 1 species